rnacentral:rRNA from 1 species
AGUGAACGCUGGCGGUAGGCCUAACACAUGCAAGUCGAACGGCAGCACAGUAAGAGCUUGCUCUUACGGGUGGCGAGUGGCGGACGGGUGAGGAAUACAUCGGAAUCUACUUUUUCGUGGGGGAUAACGUAGGGAAACUUACGCUAAUACCGCAUACGACCUACGGGUGAAAGCAGGGGAUCUUCGGACCUUGCGCGAUUGAAUGAGCCGAUGUCGGAUUAGCUAGUUGGCGGGGUAAAGGCCCACCAAGGCGACGAUCCGUAGCUGGUCUGAGAGGAUGAUCAGCCACACUGGAACUGAGACACGGUCCAGACUCCGACGGGAGGCAGCAGUGGGGAAUAUUGGACAAUGGGCGCAAGCCUGAUCCAGCCAUACUGCGUGGGUGAAGAAGGCCUUCGGGUUGUAAAGCCCUUUUGUUGGGAAAGAAAAGCAGCAGGUUAAUACCCCGCUGUUCUGACGGUACCCAAAGAAUAAGCACCGGCUAACUUCGUG